GUGUGUAUUGUGUAGGUGAGACGGUUGCGCAUGCGUGUUGUGUGCUAAGAGCCUAUAAGAUGACGAUAACAGCGAAUCCAUGCUCCGUGUGAUUACUACUCCUUGAACUUUGGAGGUGCGACACGAGAAGGGCGUUAACCCCGUGGAUGACAACCUCGGCCCAGGAGAAGACAUCUCCCCUGCGUCUCCUGGCCACAGUCAAGUGACCGGAGCAGGAACAGUUAACACACCCCUGGUGUAGACCGUGAAGAGCAGAGGGGAGGAGAAACAACCUUGGAGUGCCCCGGUGCUUGAAUGAGGGGGAUAGAUUCUCGCAAUUGUCUCAGUGUUUUCAAUAACAUCUGUGUCUCUUUUCUUUGCUGGAACGGUGAAGAGAUUCAACAUCAGACAUGCAAGUUUGCAGCAAUCCAGUCACUAGUGGUGUUCAUUUAGUGUUCAAAAUAUUAUAUUUUCAUCGUGUCCUCGUAGUAUUGGUGAGAAAGACAUCUGCCCUGGCACUCUAUUGCCUGUGGUCAAGACUACUGGCUUGUUCGUUGUCCCAGCCCAACUUUUGACCUUUUUGAGAAGGCAAGAGACCCCCUGGUUUACGGGUUCCGUCUGGGGUGGCAUUUACUUAGUGUAGCACCACCAUGCUCGCUACAUCUGUCCAUUCUUUUCACUGAUGUUCUAGCUGGUAAUCCAUUUCACGUCAUAGCAACAAAUAUGACGUCUCGUUGUCCAUCCAUUCCUGAAAGAACAUGGGCCGAGCACCAAACUGCCGGAUGUCAUCUUCAUUUCUCAUGUUUGCUACAGAUCCCCCCCGUCGAUUUUCUUUGGCCCAAUGGCGAAUCAAGGCGACAUUUUAAAGAGAGAAGACACGGAUUGGCAGGAGCACACAUGUCACCGAGGUGUCGAUGACAUGUUUGAUGUGUGGAGAUAAAUGUGUAUAUGGUUGUGUGUAUUGGGAUGGUUGUGAGACCGGUAAUUUGGGGCAGGGAAGAAACUAAGGGCGAACAUUGACAAGGUAUAGAGUUCACAGUAAAUGUCACAUCGGGAAAACAACUACAACGGAAGACCAAAAAAGGGGGGAACUCCACGGCUCUUAUGUCGGAAGCUCAGAGGAGAGGCAGAGUUACCAGCUUGGAAAGAUGGGCGUUGAAGUGCUGGAGUCGCACCGGGAAAAAAAGGAGCCGCACUGAUUUGGCGAAGACUCUCUCAUCUUCCGUUGGUAUGAAUCUGUUUCUAAAAUAUAAAGAUAGUGAAGCAUCAACUUCAGGCAGUGGUACUAGCAGUGCAUGCGCACCUACAGUUGUCCAGCCAUCGACUUCAACCAGCCAGAAGUCAGGCUUCAUGAACGUAGUUCAAUACACGAAGGCGGACUCGUUAAAGCCAGAGAUCGUGUGGACUUUAAAAGUGAUCUGCAGCCAUUACAGUUACAAAUCUUGCGAAAAUAAUUCGAAAGUGUUUGCAGUCAUGUUCUCAGACAGUGACAUUGCUAAAAACUACCACUGUGGAGAAAGGAAGACUUCAUACCUGUCUACAUUUGGCAUCGCUGCCCACUUUUCAUCUCUACUGAGGCAGAAAGUGAAGGCUGAAUCAUAGUAUGUCCUCCUCUUUGAUGAGUCUCUAAAUCAUGAGAUGCAAGAGAAGCAGCUGGACAUUCAUGUGCAAUUGUGGAUUGUUGACCAGGUCCGCACUUGCUACCUCACCUCUGAAUUCCUGGGACAUUCAGCAGCAACUGAUCUUCAGAGCGUCUGGACCCUAUCGUGUGUGACUUCGGUCACCAAAAGCUGCUCCAGCUCUCGAUAGAUGGCCCCAAUGUUAAUUGGAAGCUGUACAAAUCAAUUCAAGAACAAAUAGAAAAGAUGACAACCCGCCUUAUGCUGCAGACUGAAAGCUGCGGUCUCCACACCUUCCAUAACGCAUUUCGAAUCGGUUGCCAGGCUGGGGGGUGAAAGAUUUUCUGUCCAGCCUCUACAACUUGUUUCGCGAUGCACCUGCCAGGCGCGAGGACUUUAAACAAGUCACUGGAUCCGACACUCUCCCUCUCAUGUUCUGCAAGCACAGAUGGCUUGAAAACAUUAAUGUGGCAGAGAGAGCCAUCACCCUGAUGCCACAUGUGCGAGAUUACUGCGAGGCAGCAAGGACGAAGAAGGUGACCUGCCCAACCAACAGCUCCUUCACUGUUGUUCAGAAAGCAGCACAGGACCCCAUCUGCUGCACUUCUUUCUCAUGUGCGCCAAGCUGGUGGAACCAUUCUUGAAAUUGUACCAGACUGACAAGCCUAUGCUUCCCUUCAUCGCAAAGGACAUUGGCACCCUCAUCAAGACUCUGAUGGAAAAGUUCAUCAAGCCUGAAGUCCUUAACGAAAAGGCAGCCUCCCUCACCAGCCUUGUCAAGAUUAAUGUGGGUGACAAGUCACAAUGGGUGGAUUUAUCGAAAGUAGACGUAGGCUUUGCUGCUGAGAGACUGCUUCUGAAAUCUGGCAUUCCAACCGACCGUGUAAAACAGGAAUUUAGAAAGAGCUGCCAUACAUUCCUGGUAAACAUGAUGGAAAAGUUGCUGGAGAAGGCCCCCAUCAUAUACAGUUUAGUCCGCCUAAUAAGAUGGAUGGACCCCUGCCACAUUGCUAUGAAAGAUGAAAAGGAGAACAACAACAAAAAAACUCCAAAAAAACUUACACAUCAUGGUGGAUCACAGAAGGGUGGAGGAAAGCAAUUGAGACAGGAUUCUGUUCCAGUAUUCCAGACUGAGUGAAAUGAUCCAAGAAGAUGAGGAGAUUAGGGUUGCUUUCUCUGACUUCAACAUCUCUAAGGACAGGCUGGACACGCUCUUCCACUCCACUCUGCAUCAGCAGGAAAGCCAGCAGUUCCAGGAGCAAUGGGGCGUCAUAAAGCAGUUGCUGCUCCUGUCCCAUGGACAGGCAUCUGUGGAAAGAGUCUUCUCCACAAACAAGGAGGUCACCGAGGACAACCUAAGUAAGGAGUCACUGGUUGCUCGGAGGCAAAUAGUGGAGGUGGUCCAGCAAUAUGGAGGGCCUGACAUGGUGCCUAUCACAAGGGAGCUGUUGGUCGCUGCGUCUUCUGCCAGAAGUAUUUACGUCCAGCAUCUAGAGGAGGAAAAGAAGAAGAAGAAGCAAACAGGCAGAGAUAGACAGCCUCAAAGCCAAAAAAGCCAGACUAGAGACUGACAUAGCUAUGCUUAUUGAGAAGGCUGACAGGCUGUGUGAGCAGGCAGAAGAAAACAGGAAGCUGAGGUUUAUCACCGAGGCCAAUGCACUCAGAAGCAGACCAAAGGACAAGAGAGCCACUUUGGCAACUCUGCAGCAACAAAUAGAGGAGGCACUGGCUAGGCUCAAGGAGCUAGAGUAGGGGUGCUGAGACAGACAUCAGUAGAAGACAUUUGUGUAUAUAGUUGCAAUUGUAGUUAGAAUCUUUUUUCUGUAUAUUAUGUGAAGACGUUGACAAUGGUCAUAUCAAUGAGAACUACCACAAGGGGCGACAGGUGAUCACUGUCACAGGUACUGAGGUACUACCUUUGAUGAACCAAGAACAACCGAUGGCACCAUUGGGUGAGUCUUUUUUUCCUUACUCUUGAUUUCCCACGAUGGCCCUAAAUUUUUCGUGUCGGCCCUAAAUUUUUUCCGUGUCAGCCCUAAAUUUUUCAUGUCAGCCCCUAAGAAUGCCCCUAAAAAGCCUUUAAUUUUUUUGGCUCCGACUGAGUAUGAACCCUAUAAAGGUUCAUGUUGUGUUGUUUAGUUUAAGUUGCACAGACAUUAUGUUAAUUCAAGUCACUGUUUUUAUCAUAUUGUAUUUUGUAUGCUUAUGGAAAGUACAAGUCAUAAAAUUGUUGAUUUAAAGAUUACAAGUUGGAAUGUCAGGGGUCUUAAAAACAUGUUAUUAAUAGAAUUAAAUUAUUGAACGCUAAAAUGGUACUCCUUCAGGAGUCAUUUGACUGAUUCAGAAAUCAAAAAGGUUAGAAAUAGGUGGCCUGAAAAUGUACUUUAUGUAUCAUACAAUAAUUAUGCACGAGGUGUUUUAAUUCUUAUUCACAAAACUAUACCAUUACAAAUCACUAAUAUAAUUCAGGAUCCAGCAGGGCGAUAUGUGAUAGUCCAGGGUACUAUUUUCUCUCUUGCAUUAAUUGUGGUAUGUGUAUAUGGUCCAAAUGAGGACAAUCCUAAAUUUUUUUGAAGACCUUUUUCUCACAAUUUCUCCUCUACAUGUGUCAGUUAUAAUGGGCGGGGACUUUAAUUGCACACUAAAUUGUGUGUUGGAUCGUACUACAGGUUUAGAUCCAAGUAAAGCGAAAACAAGGAAAAUUUUAAAACAAUAUAGUGUUGAUUUAAAUUUAGUUGAAAUUUGGAGGUAUUUUAAUCCUUCUAAAAUGGAAUUUUCAUAUUAUUCAGGCUCCCAGAAAUCUCGAUAGGGCAUUGAUUACUUUUUUGUCUCUCAAAACCUUCUGUCAAAGGUUAAAAACUGCUGGUAUGACAGUGUAGUGAUUUAGCGACCAUGCACCAAUAUCUAUGAAUAUUCAAAUAGACAAACUUUGUCACUGCCCCUGCAAUUGGCGAUUUAAAUCUAUAUGGGUGCAGAAUGAGAACUUUGUUUCCUUCAUAAAAAGUAAAAUUGAUUAAUACAGAUCAAACGGGAGCCUGUACAAGAUGGGAAGCAUUCAAAGCUUACAUUCGAGGAGAAAUUAUUAGUUAUACAAGUUCUAAAUCUAAACAACAAAAAUCAGAGAUGUGUGAUUUAGAGAAGCAAAUAAAGGAGUUAGAAAAUGAUAUAGAUCAGGUAGACGAUCCACUUAAACAUAAAGAAUUGCAAUUUUUAAGAAGUAAACAUAAAAAAUUAUCUACAGAUAAAGCGGCAAAAAGUUUAUUAUGGCUUAAGCAGCCUUAUUACGAUCAAGGUAAAAAGCGGGUAAACUUUUGUCUUAAAGGAUUAGGAAAUUACAAACAGAAUGGGCAAUUAAUAGCAUAAGGACAUCUAAUGGAGUUUUGACUGUCGACCCUCAAGAAAUUAAUAGUACUUUCAGGGAUUUCUAUGAACAAUUGUAUAAAUCCGAGAUACAACAGACUUCGUUUGAGAGGGAUGCAUUUCUUGAUUCACUUAUAUUUCCAGUGCUAUCAGAGGAGGCAAAGCAAAACUUAGAUAACCAUCUGACAGAAGAAGAAAUUUCUGCUGACAUUCAAAGUAGUAAUACUAAUCGUUCUCCUGGGCCCGAUGGACUGACUAUAGAAUUUUAUAAAGCAUUUCAAAAACAAUGAUUGACUCCAUUGAUGGACAUGUAUAACGAAUCAUAUAAUAAGGAGACUCUUCCUCCUAUAUUGAGACUUGCGCUGAUUACCCUGAUCCUCAAACCUAAUAAGCCUUCCACAGAUGUUCCUUGUAUAGACCAAUAAGCUUGAUGGGAUGCGAUACAAAAAUACUUUGCAAAGCCCUGGCAAUACGAUAUAGCCUAUACCUAGUUUAAUACAUAAUGAUCAAAAAAACGUCAAGGAUUUCACAAUAUUCGAAGCGUUUUGAAUAUAUUACAUGAAAAGGCAGAGUGUAAAGACACAGCAUUGCUGUCGUUGGAUGCACGUCAGGCCUUUGACAGAAUUUAAUGGUCAGUUUGGAUUUGGCAAUAAUUUUCUUAAAUGGUUAAUUUUAUAUACAAACCCUACUGCUAGUGUUAUCACUAACAGUAUUUCUUCUAAACCAAUUGUUUUGGAAAGAUCCACGCGCCUGGGCUGUCGUCUUUCCGCAAUGUUGUUCAUUUUCGCCUUAGAACCCCUGGCCAUGUCGAUUCGUAUGGAUAGAGGCUUGACGGGCAUCCAAAUUGGUGAUCAAGAUCAGAAUCUCUCUUUAUGCUGAUGACAUCAUUCUCUUUUUGACCAAGUUAUCCACGAGCCUUCCAAAUUUAUUGGAGCAAAUUAAAAAGUUUGGUAGUUUCUCAGGUUAUGUGAUUAAUGAUAAAAAGUCAUCCAUUUUAUUUUUAAGUACUGAAGAGAGACUUAAUCCUGUGGUUAACACUCCUUUUUUGGGGGUCAAAAUUUCCCCUGAUGUUAACAAUAUAGUUCAGGUUAAUUAUGAACAUUUAAUCUUGGAGGUACAACAGAUACUAGACAGGUGGAUGAUUAUGCCAAUUUCAAUGUUGGGACGUAUAAACAUGGUUAAAAUGAGCGUUUUGCUGAAAUUUUUGUUUUUUUCAAACCAUACCUCUUCCAUUACCUGACAUCUUUUUCACUAGACUCAAAAGAAUGCUCCUGAAUUUUAUUUGGAAUAAUAAGAAAGCCAGAUUAAGACUAUGGUUGCUUUAUAUGCCUUAUGAAACUGGAGGGUUACAAUUUCCAAACUUUAAAUGUUAUUACUGCACUGCUCGACUACGCUCAGCUAUAUAUAAUUUUUCAACAUCACCAUCACACUCUUGGGUAAAAUACAGCAAGCAACAGUACCACACCUUCUAUUAAAGUAUUAUUUAUAUUCUGCUGAGAGUAGAGUAUUAAAACGGCUGACCGAGAAUCCAUUUUUUAAAAACACUGUAGAUAUCUCAUUUAAAUCACACAAACCUAUAUGGGACACUCCUUUACUUUCACGCUUUUCUCCCAUAUGGGGUAAUGCGACUUUUAAAGCUGGAGGAGCAGAUGGGGGUUUUUAAUUAUGGGCAAAUAAUGGUAUAAAAUCAUUGGUGACCUUUAUGUAAAUGGUGAAAUGCUUACAUUCAUUCAAAUAUGUAAAAAAAAAAAAAGCCUUUUUUCAAAUAUCUGCAGUUAUAACACUUUAUUUCAGCACAAAUCAAAAACAUAAUGAACCCCCCUUUGUCCAGUUUAGAAGAUAUUGUCCAGUCAGGUUUGCAUGGAUGUAAGCAGAUAUCUAUGUUCUAUAAAUCUCUAGUCUCACAUGAUCCAGAAUCAAGAAAAAUUAGAUUGGAGGCAUGGAAACUAGAUAUUAAAGAAAAUAUUGAAGUAAUUGAUUGGGAACAUGCAUGCCUUUAAGCACAAAAACAAACAAAUACUAGAAUGAGGCUAUUACAAUCCAAAUGGCUGAUGAAGAUUUAUGUGACCCCUGACAUUCCAGACACGUGUAGUAAGUGCUCUAAUGAAAGGGUACUUUUUAUCAUAGUUUAUGGGAUUGUUGGAAAGUCAAAGAUUAUUGGAAAUCUAUUGUUCAGACAAUUUCUAUAAUAGUUGGAAUUCAGGUUCCUCAUUGCGCAACACUGUGUAUCUUAGGUAUAUAUCCCAAGGACUUUACUGUUAAUAAAAAGAAGGCCAUGCUUAUAGACUUUGGUCUCCUGUAGGCCAGGAGAACAAUUGCAUUGGGAAAAACUGGACGUUCCGCCAAUAAAAGUAUGGAUGUUGGAAAUGGCAUCUUGUGUUGCUCUGGAAAGACUCACGUAAUAUUACGAGAGGAAGAGCUGAGGAAUUUGAGGACAUAUGGAGACCCUUGAAAGAGUUUUUGAAAAAAAAAAAAAAGUGAAUUAUUUGUGAUUUGUGUGCUUUCUUUUUUUUAACACUAUUAUGUCUGUGCAUAGUGUUUUUUUUUGUUAUUGUUUUACUGUUAUUGUGUUGUUUUUGUAAAAUUAUGAAAAAUCUAAUAUAUUGUUUGAAAAAAGUUUGUUUUUUCUAUUCUGAGGAAAAGGAACACACAAUGCCUCAAUUAUUCACAGAUGUACAUGUAUCACAGAACACACAACUACAUCAGGAUGUCAUUUCUCAGGCAGACAUGUAUAUACCCACAUGCACACACGCACGCACACACACACACACACACACACACACACACACAAGGUCUGGAAGGUCUUGCCUCCAUUCUGGAUAAUGAAAUUGGAACAGUAGUUUGCCCUUUUCUUCCAUCAACUGUCCAACAUCACACAGCACCUUGGCUUCACCACCUGACCUCAGUGUGGUAUGGCAGGCUAUAUAUGUGGUCUUUCUCUCAGAGCUUGUCAAACUGACAGUGAUUCAGGCUUCUGGAUUGGAUGAAAUUAACAGUUUUGAUGACCAAAUUCAUGAUGUUAUCCAUCUUUUAUGAAUUGAAACACAAAGCCUCCUGGUGGAUAAUACAGUGUAGUCCACCAUCUGUCCCUCAAAGUUCUUUUCCUGGAUACAGUGCUUACUCAUCACUUCUUCAUCGCCCCUGUUUUCUUCACCAACAUGUCCAUUACAUUCUGCACCAAUCACAGCUCUCUGUCUGGGAUGCUCAUACUUCAUCUUUUUCCCUCUCGGUCACAUCCUACCUGUAGGGCAUAGCCGUUAAUCACAUUAUACAUAUCACCUUCAAUUUCAAAUUUCAGCCUCAUCACUCUUUUCACUUCCAAAAUGUUCUCAGCGCCCUCUUCAUUUAAAAUGAUCCCCACUCCAUUUCUCUUCCCGUCUACUCUAUGGUAAAAUAAUUUAAACCCUGCUCCUAAACUUCGAGGCUUACUACCUUUCCACCUGGUCUCUUGGAUGCACAAAAUAUCAACCUUUCUCCUAAUCAUCAUGUCAAGCAACUCCUGACCAUUUCCUGUCAUAGUCUUAACAUUCAAAGUCCCUGCAUUCAGUUGUUGGCUCUGUGCCUUCCUCUUCUUCUUCUGCCGACUAAGCCGUUUUCCUCCUUUUCUUUGUCUUCGACCUACAGUAACUGAAUUUCCACCGGGGCGGACAUUGUUAACCCGGGCCACGACCGAUCCGGUAUGAGAUUGAUUUGAUGAACGCUCAUUGUGUUUGGAACAGUUUUACGCUGAAUGCCCUUCCUGAUGCAUCCUCUGCAUAUUUUCGGGCUUGGGACAUGCCUACAGAUUGCACUUGAUUGUGGCACCCACAGGGCUGCAUAUAGUCAAAUAAAGACAAUCAAAUAAACAAAGUAAACACACAAGGUACAGAAUUCACAUACUACCUAGGCUAAGUUAAAAGUAAGGGUCCUAACCCAUAUGAAGAUAGAAGAAAAAGAGAUUCAAACCACAUUGUCCCUGCAGUGUUAUCACGGCAGGAGUUGAGCAAGUUGAGGGUUAUGUCACAUGUCCAGCAAUCUCUUUUCCUUUCAGCUAUAUUCUGUUUUACUUCGGCUAAUCUUCAUUUCUCUCCUUUCCAGUGCGUGCCUCUGUUGGAUUAAUAGGAUAAAAAGUUAUCUUAUUUCUGCUUUCUUGGUUUUUAAUGCUUCAUUGCUUGUGUGAUGUGACGCAAUCGAGAUGCCCAUUGAGUCAUGGAAACUUUGCUAUGAUGUAUUUAAACAAUGUGAUGCAAUCAAGUUACAUCGGGUGCAGUGGAAACACCAGACAGUGAUGCAGAAGACAACAUAAAGACCGACGAUCUCAAGAGGAUGGUGAAGACAUCCCAAAGACUCAGAUGGACUAUUUUUGUCACGGUUACUUUGUUUGUCACAUUUGCUUUGUUGUGAUGCGGACCACGCUAAGGAAUAAAAAAGUGGAGCUGCGAUUAGAAUGGCUUGGAGGUUGUGAAAGAGACACAUCCCACAUUCUCCUCGCGAGCCAGAAGUUACUCUUGUCUUCCUUCCUUGAGAAUUGUACUUUAAAUGUCCUAGGCUGCUUAAACAUGACAUUAAAUUGGUCCUUGCUCCCAAGA